rnacentral:misc_RNA from 1 species
GAUGAAGAACGCAGCGAAAUGCGAUAAGUAAUGUGAAUUGCAGAAUUCAGUGAAUCAUCGAAUCUUUGAACGCACCUUGCGCCCUUUGGACAUUCCGAAGGGCAUGCCUGUUUGAGUAUCAUGAACACCUCAACUCUCACGGCUUGUCCGUGAUGAGCUUGGACUUUGGGGGUCUUGCCGGCCUGUGGUCGGCUCCUCUCAAAUGGAUCAGCUUGCCAGUGUUUGGUGGCAUCACAGGUGUGAUAACUAUCUGCGCUUGUGGUUUUCCAUCAGAUAACCUUCAGUGAUACGGAGGUUCGCUGGAGCUCACAAAUGUCUCUCCUUAGUGAGGACAGCUCUUUGAACGUUUGAUCUCAAAUCAGGUAGGACUACCCGCUGAACUUAAGCAUAUCAAUAAGCGGAGGA